AGCUCUAUUUGGGAUGAUCUUGGUCUCAUUGAACUCCAUUUUUUAUCGCAGACCUCACUGUGGGCUCAAUAUGGAUCGAAUCUCAAGACAUCAAAUCCUAAUAAUAUUGAAGGUUCAAGAUCAAGGAACAAAAAUUAUAUGGGCGGGCACUAUAGAAUAUCAUAUGGAGCAGACUUCUUAUUUUGUCACGUUUCUUCUCAUACCGAUUAUUGG
rnacentral:lncRNA from 1 species